AUACGUAGGGGGCGAGCGUUGUCCGGAAUUAUUGGGCGUAAAGGGUGCGUAGGCGGCAUGCAAAGUCACCCGUGAAAAACCUCGGCUUAACCGGGGGCUUGCAGGUGAAACUAGUAUGCUUGAGUGUAGGAGAGGAGAACGGAAUUCCUGGUGUAGCGGUGAAAUGCGUAGAUAUCAGGAGGAACACCAGUGGCGAAGGCGGUUCUCUGGACUGUAACUGACGCUGAGGCACGAAAGCUGGGGGAGCAAACAGGAUUAGAUACCCUGGUAGUCCCAGCCGUAAACGAUGGAUACUAGGUGUAGGCACCGAUGAAGGUGUCUGUGCCGCAGCUAACGCAUUAAGUAUCCCGCCUGGGGAGUACGGUCGCAAGGCUGAA
rnacentral:rRNA from 1 species